GAUGAAGAACGUAGCGAAAUGCGAUACUUGGUGUGAAUUGCAGAAUCCCGUGAACCAUCGAGUCCUUGAACGCAAGUUGCGCCCGAAGCCAUUAGGCCGAGGGCACGCCUGCCUGGGCGUCACACGUCGUUGCCCCCCCAUCUACUCCUUCGGGAUUGCGGGGGGCGGAUGAUGGCCUCUCGUGCGCCUCGUCGCGCGGUUGGCCUAAAUGCCAAGUCCUCGGCGACGCACGCCACGACAAUCGGUGGUUGCGAAACCUCGGUUGCCUGUCGUGUGCGGUCGUCGCGCAUCGAGGGCUCGAAAAAAUUGCCGGGCUUCGGCUCGACUUUCAACGCGACCCCAGGUCAGGCGGGGUUACCCGCUGAAUUUAAGCAUAUCAAUAAGCGGAGGA
rnacentral:misc_RNA from 1 species